GACGAACGCUGGCGGCGUGCCUAAUACAUGCAAGUCGAGCGAGCUUGCCUAGAUGAUUUUAGUGCUUGCACUAAAUGAAACUAGAUACAAGCGAGCGGCGGACGGGUGAGUAACACGUGGGUAACCUGCCCAAGAGACUGGGAUAACACCUGGAAACAGAUGCUAAUACCGGAUAACAACACUAGACGCAUGUCUAGAGUUUGAAAGAUGGUUCUGCUAUCACUCUUGGAUGGACCUGCGGUGCAUUAGCUAGUUGGUAAGGUAACGGCUUACCAAGGCAAUGAUGCAUAGCCGAGUUGAGAGACUGAUCGGCCACAUUGGGACUGAGACACGGCCCAAACUCCUACGGGAGGCAGCAGUAGGGAAUCUUCCACAAUGGACGAAAGUCUGAUGGAGCAACGCCGCGUGAGUGAAGAAGGGUUUCGGCUCGUAAAGCUCUGUUGGUAGUGAAGAAAGAUAGAGGUAGUAACUGGCCUUUAUUUGACGGUAAUUACUUAGAAAGUCACGGCUAACUACGUGCCAGCGGCCGCGGUAAUACGUAGGUGGCAAGCGUUGUCCGGAUUUAUUGGGCGUAAAGCGAGUGCAGGCGGUUCAAUAAGUCUGAUGUGAAAGCCUUCGGCUCAACCGGAGAAUUGCAUCAGAAACUGUUGAACUUGAGUGCAGAAGAGGAGAGUGGAACUCCAUGUGUAGCGGUGGAAUGCGUAGAUAUAUGGAAGAACACCAGUGGCGAAGGCGGCUCUCUGGUCUGCAACUGACGCUGAGGCUCGAAAGCAUGGGUAGCGAACAGG
rnacentral:rRNA from 1 species